rnacentral:ncRNA from 1 species
GCACAGGAUUCCUAUUUAAUUGGGCACUAUAAUUGGAAACAUUAUAGUGAAUCUGCUCAAAGUCGGGGAACGCUUAAUCUGGGUAACAGAUUGUGCCAAUCCCGAGCCAAGCCUUAUGCUUUUAUAGAGUAAGGAAGGUGUAGAGACUGGACGGGCAGUACCUAAUAACCUGGUUUCUCAGGUUUACGGUAAAGGGACAGUCCAGACCACGAACGUUGCGU